rnacentral:rRNA from 1 species
GUGAGGAAUUUUGCGCAAUGGGGGCAACCCUGACGCAGCGACGCCGCGUGGAGGACGAAGUCUUUCGGGAUGUAAACUCCUGUCAGUGGGGACGAUAAUGACGGUACCCACAGAGGAAGCACCGGCUAACUCCGUGCCAGCAGCCGCGGUAAGACGGAGGGUGCAAGCGUUGUUCGGAAUUACUGGGCGUAAAGCGUACGUAGGCGGCAAGUUAAGUUCAAUGUUAAAGCCCACGGCUCAACGGAGGAGAUGCAUUGAAUACUGGCUAGCUAGAGGGUGUUAGAGGGAGACGGAAUUCCCAGUGUAGCGGUGAAAUGCGUAGAUAUUGGGAGGAACAUCGGUAGCGAAAGCGGUCUUCUGGGACACACCUGACGCUGAGGUACGAAAGCGUGGGGAGCAAACGGGAUUAGAAACCCCAGUAGUCC